AUACGGAGGAUGCGAGCGUUAUCCGGAUUUAUUGGGUUUAAAGGGUGCGUAGGCUGUGCGUUAAGUCAGGGGUGAAAUGCCGUCGCUCAACGACGGAGCUGCCCUUGAUACUGGCGUGCUGGAGUACGGAUGCCGUUGGAGGAAUGAGUGGUGUAGCGGUGAAAUGCUUAGAUAUCACUCAGAACACCGAUUGCGAAGGCAUCUGACGAAUCCGUCACUGACGCUGAGGCACGAAAGCGUGGGGAUAGAACAGGAUUAGAUACCCUGGUAUUCCACGCCGUAAACGAUGAUGACUAACCGUCGGCGAUAGACAGCCGGUGGCCAAGCGAAAGCGAUAAGUCAUCCACCUGGGGAGUACGUCGGCAACGAUGAAACUCAAAGGAAUUGGCGGGG
rnacentral:rRNA from 1 species